rnacentral:lncRNA from 1 species
AUGAAAUGGAAAUGAAGCAUUAAAUUGCAUGAGUAUGUAUCGGGUCUCGUAGGCCCUAAUUAUUAUGAUCAUAAUAUUUUGAUGAUAUCUUAUGAAAAAUUAUAAAAGCAUGUUAAUAAUUUUGAAAAUUUUAAUUUAGAUGAAAUUUUAUAACUCGGUUAAAUACGUUUACAAGUGCAUGUGUUCUAGUAAUGCCUCGUACCCUAUUCUAGUGUCGGAUACGGGUAAGGGACGUUACAAUGCAAUCCCUUUGGAUCGUCAGACCAUUCACUUUGUUGUGGUGGUUUGGAACAAGCAUAGGGCGUUGUACAAGCUUUAUCGGGCUUCAUCCUCACUUCUUGUGAUGCUUGCCUCGCUAAAUUCAUGUCUAUUCAGGAAGCCUUUUAAUGGCUUAAAGACCAGGGCAUGGACAAUAUUGUCGUGGAAACCGAUUGUAGGGAAUUUGUGCUUGCCCUUCGUUCAAACAAUGAAAACCUCUCGUAAUUCAGCUUUGUGGUUAAUGAUUGUCGAAUGCUGCAAGUUUCAUUUUAAAAUGUCAGUUUCUCUUGGGUCAAGUGAGUCAUUAAUCAGGUUGCUCAUUAGUUGGGUCGGGUGACUUUCUUCCAUGCUAACUCGCUUGUGCAUGCAACUAUUCCUCUAUGCUUACGUGAUAUUGUCAUGGAUGAUGUCACAAUGUAACCACUGUAGAAGGGCUCUAAGGCUUGGGUGUACGGGGUUUAGUCUGUUAGUUAGGGUAAGUUUGGUCUUUAUAUGUAAUAUUUGUUUAUAUCAAUUGAUGAAUUUUGUUUUCUUAAAAAAAAUAUAUAUCAUAUAUAUCAUUAUAAUUUAAAGAUGAAUUUUUAAAUAAAUAACUUUUAUUUUAAUAAAUUUAUAUUUUAAAUUGAAAUUUAUUCUUAAUUAAUUAAAAAAUCUACAACCUCGUAGAAGCAAUCCUCGGAUUGAUUCUUAAGCUUCAAUUUGAUUUUCUAAUUUAUUUAAUUUUUUAGAAUGUUUUAAUUUUUUUAUCAAAGUAAUUGAAACAGGUAAAUAAUACUGUUAAUUUUUCGAGGGAUUAUUUUAGCAAUUUAAUAAGUAAAAACUUGAAUUAGGCACAAUGUACACUAGCGUUAGGGUAUGGUAUUUUUCAAGCUAAGGCAAUAAAUAGAAACCCUUCUUUAGUGAUUCAAGAGUAGCAACAACAACCAAUGUUAGCUCUUUUGUUAUGCGCUAUGGUUGAUAUGGUCCUUUAGAAAUAAAUUCAUUCACGAGGGGAGAAAUACAACUGGAAGGGGGUUAGCUCAGAAUAUUCAAAGACACAUGGCAGAAUAUGAAGGACUAAAAGUCAUAAAGAAGAUUGAGAGAAUUUAUAGAGGCUACAGAAUUCAGGAGGACGUACCGAGAAUAACGAUCCAAUUUGAUGUAGCGCUGGACAGUAGAACCUUUAAAUCAGUGACUGGCUUAGUAGGUUGGGAUAUGAGGGGAAACUUACUGGUGUUAAAGACGGUUAUCCAUAGAAAUGCCCCAUCACCAUUCGCAGCAGAGGCAUAUGCAUGUUUAGAAGGCACAAAAUUAGGGAUUGCACUAAGAACUCAGUCAGUUAGAAUCAUAGGGGACUCUAAAACAGUUAUAAAAAAGAGCCAGGCGACUUCAACAGACAAAUCUGUGAUCGGUGCCAUUAUUAGAGAUAUUUAGACUAAGAAAUCCUGUUUUCAAGAACUUACUUUUCAGCACAUCCACAGAUUAGAGAACAUGCAUGCACAUAGUCUCGCAAAGAAAGCUCUAGUUAAAGAAGAAAGCACUUACUUAAUGGGAGAAGAACUGAAAUGCCAUGUUUUAGUCUCGGGAGGAAACUGGCAAAGGAAUCCGGAUUAAAGAAAUGGUUGAAGGAGCAGUAUUCAAUACAGAUAGCUUAAUGAUGUUAAAUCCCUUGGGAAGAGCUAUCGAUAUAACAGAUGGGACUUUGAAAAUGACUUUUCAACAGCCUUUAUGGUAUCCAGCUGUUUUAAAUUGACUGGGGUAGGUUUUUCAUCAGUUUUUAUUUUCAUUAAAUGCUUUUUGUUUUCCCCUUUAAGUUAGUAAGUUACUAGAUAGUUGUUUUUUUCUAGGAGGUUUUCAUUUCUGUUUCGUUUAGGCCGG